CACAAUCUUCGUCUUCAUCUUGCCCUUUACAUGCUUGAGAAACCUUCAUAUUUAUGUAGAACCCAAAACUUAAUAUGUAAUCAAGAAAGGAGAUUGACAAAAGCUUUUGCGCAUACCAACCUAGUUUUCAAGUCACCUUUAUAGCUAAAGAAGAGGAUUCUAGAAUGGCGGUUUUAAAAAAUAAUAGGCCUAAUCUGCGUCUGGUAUGCAGUUUUGAAAUUGGUCCUUGCUAAGGAAUUUCUCCAAAUCUAUUACAUUCCUAGUCUUGGUUUCCAGGCUUUAAACAUGGACAUAUAUGAAUUAGGAAAUUUAGUUAUGACUUUAACAAAAUUGUAGGCAAUAAAAUGAAAGAGCUCCACACUUAGAGGUCCCUGAAAACAUUAGACUUUAGUAAAAAGGCACUCACAAGCUACAUACAUGGGCUUAACUAAGUUGGCUAGAGUAAAUGUGCUCCCCACUCUACACCCAAGUUCAAAUCCCUCUCCUUAAAGUUUAGAUUAGAUAUCGUUUGUAUAAAAUAAAAUAAAACACUCACAAGCCCAAUUUAAACUAAAAUGGCAUAUUUGACAUGUAAAUAUGCAAAAAAAGAAUACAUAAUUAGACAUGCAAAAUACAGGUCCCACAAUCUACUUUACACCUUACACAUAACCAAACAAAACCUAAUUUUUUUUUUUACAUAUGUAUAGAGUUUGGAGUACUUUUUUUGCCUUCUUCUUAGUUAGGUAGCAUGUAUUAUGCAAACAAAAGAAAAGUAUUAGUGAUAAAAUUCUUUACUAAUAAGGCUAUCAUAAAUGGAGUAUUUUGGUUUUCGGCUUGAUCUGUGGGGUUUAAAUUUUCUUUUGUAUUAGGUCACUGAGGUGGCCCAAAUUCGCAUUAGUCUUAAAUUAAGGAGAUAAUAUGUAGUAAAGUUGCUAUAAUUCUUAAUGUAUGGUUGGUCUUAUCGCUAUAAUUUUUCUUCAUGAUUAUAAUACAUUUCUUACUACUUCUUUACUGAAUUUUGCAUAUGCCUUAUCUAUAAGGGAGUAUUUUUGCUCACCACUUUAACCCAAUGUGUACCCUUACCACCCUUCUUAUAACUUGACACAUGUCUAUUCUUGUAACCAUAGUUAACUCCUUGAUUUUAAAUUUUUAAGUAUUUAAAAUUAAAAAAUAAAGUAAAAUAAUAAUUAAAUAACAUAAAAAACUCUCUCUCCUUCACUCUCCCUCUUCACGACGGGGCCCACACCACACCCACGCGUAUACGUCCGGCGGCGACACCAAAAUCCUCACCGUAGAUCGGAACAUCAAUCUCUUCACUUUCGCCUCCAAGCUCGCCUCCCUCUAUGACACCCCAAACGACGUCAUCUACUUACUAGCUCCCAAGUGAAGAUCUCGACGCCUUCAUCUCCGUCAUCAAUGACGAAGACCUCGACCCCAUGAUGAUCGAGUACAGUCGGCUCUAUUGCACUUCCGCUAAGCCCACAAGGCUCAGGCUCUUCCUCUUCCCUCUCAACAACAACACUCCCUUUAGCUUCGGCUCCAACGAGACCAAGUUGGAGCACCAGUAGUUCGUGGAUGCUCUGAAUUUGGUCAAAUUGAUUCUCCUGAUGAUUCUUCUCCAACGGCUUCGGUCACAGUGUCGCUGACGAACCCCAAUCGGAUCUUGUCGGUGUGGGUGGUGCUUGUGGUGGGGUACGUGGUUGAGGUUGAACAAGGUCAGGAGGUGGUUGGGGUUGCUACAGGGGAAUGUGGUGGCUAAGGUUAGGUGGCUAGUUGUGGGGUAAGGGUGGGUCUAGUCGGGAAGAGGGGAGAGAGAAGGAGAGAGUUUUUUAUUUUAUAAAUGUUAUUUAAUUAUUAUUUAACUUUAUUUUUUAAUUUUAAAUACUUAAAAUAUUUAAAAUUAAAGAGUUAACUAUGGUUACAAGUAUGGAGAUGUGUCAAUUUAUAAGAAGGGAGAUUGGGUUAAAGUGGUGAGCAAAAAUGCUUACUAUCUAUAAUUACAUGAAAUAUAAAUUUUAUUUGCUUACACAAAUUUUUGGUUGAAAUCUUAGUUAUGUGCUUACAUACUUAUGGUUACACAUCUGUUACCGUUAAUAUGGUUAUGUAUCACAACUAUACACUAUAUGAUCUAUGUCUUGAGAAGUAAUACAAAGUGGGCUUAUGACACAGAUACUUCAAGUGAGUCACAAGUUUUCGAAGUUGGUUGUCAGCUUAAGUCCCUUCAAAUAGUGCACUAUUAUUGUGAGGAAUGAAUUCAUCAACCUUGAGAAAGGACUCUUGUUCCUUGAAAACUAAGAAAAUAGAGACAAUAGUAAGUCCACAAGCACAUUGGUGUGGUGUGAGAUAAAGGGUCUCCUAUGCCUAAGUUAGCACUAUUAAACAGAGAAAGAGUUAGAGUUUCUUAGUUCAAGGAACAAUUGCCUUCUCCCACAGAUGGAGGUGGGUUUAAAUUUGGCCCAUUAGUGGCUUAUUUACUGUCAUUUGGAGGCUACGUGUUUGAGACUAAGUGGUGGGUGCCAUGACUCCUUGAUGUGUAUGUCCAAUCAAUUAGCCGUUUGACUUGGGACGUGUGAGAUAUUUACCCAAAGUGGUGGAGCAUAAUGUCCUUAAUUAUUGCUACUGCAAUUAAUGAGGAUAUACCCAAGAUUUGGGUUGAUCUUUUAGUGGCGUGUUGCCCAAGGAUAAGUCAUGUUGGGCUUAUCCCCUAAGUCUUAUCUAAUCUAGGCUUAAUCAGGCAAGCGUCUGGACACGUAUUGGACUAGUUUGUCCAUGGGCCUUUGACUAUUAGAAGGGCCUUGUGAGGCUUACGUGGGCAACUUGGGCUCAGGCAGAGCCUUAAAUUGCCAAAGAAAGCGACCUGUGCCAGCUUUGGGGCAAUAAUUUCAAUUGCCGUCAUUUAAUGCUUGAUUGGAUGCUUCUUAUCUUCUCUCGCCCUUUGCUAAAGGCAAUUUGUUCCAUUUGAUUUCUUUGUCAUACAUGUGGCAUCUUAUUAUUGGUGUACGAUUAUUUACUCCCACAAUUAUACUUAACAUGCUUGGAGGAGUCAAACCUUUAGGUAUAGAUGUUUGAGUAUUACAAACUCUAGCAUGUUGUUGCUUAUCUUGGUAUAUUUUAGGACUUAUGAUUUGUUACUAGUAUUUGUUACUAGUAAUCCACUUAUGAGAUUCACUAAGAUGCGAAGUAAUGUGAUACAUUGAGAAAAGAAAUAUAUCGUGCAUAAAUAGAUAUAAUUGAUUAUAUGUUAUCUAUCUUGAUGCUAUGUAUAAUCAUUUUGUAAGGUCAGUACUUAGUGGGAUUGUGUGAGCCAUGAUGCUACACCUUUUACUAUUUUAAGCUAAUGAGUAGGUUCACAAGGAUGAGAUGAUCUUUACUUAAUUUCAAUAUUAGAUCGGAGUGUUUAGUACUCGGAUCUUUACAUUAUAAAAAUGAAAGUGUACUUGUACUGCCAUCUUGAUAAUGUAAACAUUUAUGCGGUGAUGGACUUGUUAAGGCAUAAGGAGAUGAAAUUUUUUUCAUAAAUACGUACCAAUAUUAUUCACUUUCCACACCAAAUUUUCUAUUACUAAAUUUCAUUUGUGUAAAAAUACAAAUGGCCUAUUCCAUUGAAGCUGGAGGGUCGUGGAGAACCAUGGAAGAUGUUUUGUUGUGUGAGUCUUGGGUCCAACUUGGUCAUUGCCUAAUCACGGUAUUUAGAAAAUAGAGAUUGUUGGAAUUUUUGCGAGUAUUUCAAAAUACAAAAUUAAUUUAUCUAAUUUAUGUUGAAAGUGAAAUUUUAAAUGUGUGGUUUAAUUCUAUUUAAUGAAAAUUAUAAACUACUUUCGUAUUGGUUUUGAAUAAAUUGGACAUUAAUUUGUUGUCUGUUUUGCUAUCUCCUUUAUGGUUUUAAUUGGUUUAUUUACGUUAACUUUUUGUAUGAAUUUAUUUUAUCAUUUAAAUAAGUUAAAUGCCUUAGGUUUUACAGUAGUCGUUGAAGGUUUUGAUUCCCAAGCUUUAUUGCGUGAGUUAAUUGCUUAGUUGGGAUCAGAUUUUACUAUUUUGAGCAAUAGCGUUGAGUUUUGUUCUUAAUGUGCAAAUGUGGUUUAAUUGCUUGGUUAAUAACCUAACAUUCACUGGAGUAAGUAGGCUUAUAUAUACACCAAAAAAGAAAAACAUUGGUGGGAGAUUUUUGGCACAUUUCUUCAUUAUUUUCUCCUCUACAUUCUUGAGUUUGUGUUCCAAUUUGUUUUCUUUUAUCAAGGGAAAGAUUCGAGUUGUUCAUCCGAUCCAAGUAUUGCGAGUGUAUGCAUAUGAGGGUCAUAGGCUAUUUUAUCCUGGAGAGUAGGCAGCAAUACAACCUUGCUAGACCGAGACAUUGUCUUUGAGGGGCGAAAUCUACUCUUAAGGACAGUCAUGCCUCAACUUAAAAUUAUUCUUCUACUCAAGUCUCAAUGGAGACCAACUUCUACAUCCCAAAAGAUAUGUAUUUUGCUGUAAUUUCAUUGAUUUUAUUUAUUCUAUGUAUUAUAUAUAUAAGUGUAAACUACAAUUUUCUAAUAUAUAUUUUUGUGAUGCUUUACAGAAAAAGUAGUAUUCAUAAACCAAAUUUUCCAACAGAGAUGACAUGUGGCGCACUUAUAGAGGUUGAAAAUCUUAUCUGAAAUCUGGGAUUUGAAUUUUAUAAUAAAUAUCGACACGUGGCAAUAGAGAAUCUUAUCCAAAACUUUUAUCUAAAAUUUGAGAUGUGAAUUUUAUAAUAAAUAUUGACACGUGACAACCGAAAAUCUUAUCCAAAUUAAUCAUUUAAGUAUAAAAUAAAAUAAAAAUGAAAGUAAAUAGUAAUUUCUUUUUGCCAUGACAAUAGGUAGAAACACAACUUGUCUUUUGCAAUGCUUUAAUGGAUCCUCUCCUCACGGAAGCAUUCUUUUGUAAGGCUGUAGUAUAUGGCAGCACAGUACGGUCGGAUAUUUUAUAGGUUCACUUUUGUUUGUUUGUUUUGUUCCUAGGUUCAAUAAGGCCAAUUUUGAUUUUUUAUAAAAUGUUUUCAAGGUCAAUAUUGAAGCUAAAACUUAACAUUAUACUUUCUUUUUUUUUAAACAAUAAAAUUCAUUGAUAAACAGUGUAAAUACCCAUAAUACAUACAGGAAGAAUAUAGCCCCAAAGGAGGUUUUUGCAAAACAGAAAAUCUAGAAAACAUGAACAAACAGGCACAAACAUUGCAAGAGAGUGAGUACAAAAAUGUACAACUUGAAGCCUACCUCAUUUGGAGUUAGAAAUGAGGAGGACCCAUAAAACCUGCAGCAAACCAGUACUUCAGGACAGGAAACACCACGAAGUGGAAGGCGUUACUACUCAGCAUCCAAUAGGACAUUCUAAUGAAUAUCACACACAGCAUCUCCAAAUCCCCACUCGAUCCAAAAGCACCAAUGAUUGUAGAUCCAACCAAAUCUAAAAGCUAUAUCUCCAAAAAGAGAGAUCUAAAAGCAAUCUAUCCCCAAAAAGAUGGUAAUCAACCCCGAGAAAACUAGGGAUACAAAACCUUGCAAAAGCAAGUAAUAGACAAAACCCAGCAUAAAGCCGGAAAGAAAAACUCUCCACAACAUAACCCGAGGAGCGGGGAGAAACCCGGGUUCUUCUUGUGCGCUUUUGCAUGCACUUACAAGAAGGUCCUUCUCUUGCUUGCAUUGGCUGGGCGUCAUGUCGCCUUCUGCCAUUGGAACCACCUCAACCAAAACACCAACCACCACCAAGAACAAGCAUACAACCACACCCAAUGAGCCUGCAGCCUUCAUGAUUUUUUUUUUUUGUUGUUGUUUUUUUGCUUCUUCUUUUCUUUGUUGCUUUUUGUGUGGCAAAACUACCCUGUUUUAUAGAUUGUGAAGAGGGUUAAAUUUGGGAGUAAACCCAACUGUUGCCCCACCAACAAUGCGAGAGACUCCUUGUCUAAUUGUUUGGGUAAAUAUCACAAAAAGAACUUGACUAAAAGGUCGCUAAACUCAAAGUCUAAUUGUUUGUGGAAAAGUAUCUCCAUUGGGAGUUCAACUUGACUAAAACGAAAAAUUAAAAGGAAA
rnacentral:lncRNA from 1 species